UACAGAGGGGCAAGCGUUAUUCGGAAUUAUUGGGCGUAAAGGGCGCGUAGGCGGCUUUGCAAGUGGCGGGUGAAAUCCCUCGGCUUAACCGAGGAACUGCCUGUCAAACUGCAUGGCUUGAGACCAGGAGAGGUGAGUGGAAUUCCCAGUGUAGCGGUGAAAUGCGUAGAUAUUGGGAGGAACACCAGUGGCGAAGGCGGCUCACUGGACUGGUACUGACGCUGAGACGCGAAAGCGUGGGGAGCGAACGAGG
rnacentral:rRNA from 1 species